GAUGAACGCUGGCGGCGUGCCUAAUACAUGCAAGUCGAGCGAACAGACGAGGAGCUUGCUCCUCUGACGUUAGCGGCGGACGGGUGAGUAACACGUGGAUAACCUACCUAUAAGACUGGGAUAACUUCGGGAAACCGGAGCUAAUACCGGAUAAUAUAUUGAACCGCAGGGUUCAAUAGUGAAAGACGGUUUUGCUGUCACUUAUAGAUGGAUCCGCGCCGCAUUAGCUAGUUGGUAAGGUAACGGCUUACCAAGGCAACGAUGCGUAGCCGACCUGAGAGGGUGAUCGGCCACCCUGGAACUGAGCCACGGUCCAGACUCCUACGGGAGGCAGCAGUAGGGAAUCUUCCGCAAUGGGCGAAAGCCUGACGGAGCAACGCCGCGUGAGUGAUGAAGGUCUUCGGAUCGUAAAACUCUGUUAUUAGGGAAGAACAAAUGUGUAAGUAACUAUGCACGUCUUGACGGUACCUAAUCAGAAAGCCACGGCUAACUACGUG
rnacentral:rRNA from 1 species